UACGUAGGGUGCGAGCGUUAAUCGGAAUUACUGGGCGUAAAGAGUGCGUAGGCGGUUCGUUAAGUCAGCUGUGAAAGCCCCGGGCUCAACCUGGGAACUGCGGUUGAAACUGGCGAACUAGAAUCUGGCAGAGGGGGGUGGAAUUCCACGUGUAGCAGUGAAAUGCGUAGAGAUGUGGAGGAACACCGAUGGAGAAGGCAGCCCCCUGGGCUGAGAUUGACGCUCAGGCACGAAAGCGUGGGGAGCAAACAGG
rnacentral:rRNA from 1 species